GAUGAACGCUAGCGGCAGGCCUAAUACAUGCAAGUCGAACGGUUGUAGCAAUACAAUAGUGGCGCACGGGUGCGUAACACGUAUGCAACCUACCUUAUAGACGGGGAUAGCCUUUGGAAACGGAGAUUAAUACCCGAUAGCAAUAUUGACUGGCAUCAGUUUAUAUUUAAAGAUUUAUCGCUAUAAGCUGGGCAUGCGUCCAAUUAGUUAGUUGGUUAGGUAAUGGCUGACCAAGACGAUGAUUGGUAGGGGAACUGAGAGGUUAAUCCCCCACACUGGCACUGAGAUACGGGCCAGACUCCUACGGGAGGCAGCAGUAGGGAAUAUUGGGCAAUGGAGGCAACUCUGACCCAGCCAUGCCGCGUGCAGGAUGAAGGCGUUAUGCGUUGUAAACUGCUUUUAUAUAGGAAGAAAUAGACCUUGCGAGGUAAGUUGACGGUACUAUAUGAAUAAGCACCGGCUAACUCCGUGCCAGCAGCCGCGGUAAUACGGAGGGUGCAAGCGUUGUCCGGAUUUAUUGGGUUUAAAGGGUGCGUAGGCGGUUUAUUAAGUCAGUGGUGAAAGACGGUCGCUCAACGAUUACAGUGCCAUUGAUACUGGUAGACUUGAGUGAGAUUGAGGUAGCUGGAAUGGAUAGUGUAGCGGUGAAAUGCAUAGAUAUUAUCCAGAACACCAAUUGCGUAGGCAAGUUACUAAGUCUCAACUGACGCUGAGGCACGAAAGUGUGGGUAUCAAACAGGAUUAGAUACCCUGGUAGUCCACACUGUAAACGAUGAUAACUAACUGUUGGCUUUCGGGUCAGUGGUACAGAGAAAUCGUUAAGUUAUCCACCUGGGGAGUACGCCGGCAACGGUG
rnacentral:rRNA from 1 species